CAGAAUAAUACUCUAAAAGCUUUCAACAACAAAGUUCUCAUAUGGCAGCUGCAGGUUUAUCAAGCUUCAAGACUUUGAAACAACGAUCACUAGUGCGAUGUUCUAAGCAAAUCAGGGAGCAAAAGGCACGACUUUAUAUCAUAUGGAGGUGCACCAUGUUUCUUAUGUGCUCGCAUGAUUAAGAAGAAGUAUAAAUGUGGAUCGAAAUGCAUCUAUUAGCUCUAGGAAGAGACGUAAGUUUUACACGUUAUUGAUCUUUAUAUGUAUAUAGAAAGAAAUGUUCCAUAAAGUGUUUUAUGUAUACAUGAUAAACGAAGUUUUGAAACAAUUAUAGUGUUGACUCGUUAAUGGAAUUAUAGGCCCUUUUGUACAAUGUAAGAUUUGAAUAAUGAUUAUGCAUAAAUCUUAUUUUUGGGAUCAAGCACUAAUUAUGUAUGGUGAUUGUUAAUAUUAUUUGACACAAACAAAAUUUAUAAGAGCUAGCAUCCAAAUUCCGGACCCUACACAAAGGAAACUCUUUCAAUGUCCAACCCCACCAUUGUUUUGAUCUAUACAAAGGUAAUUAGUUUCCCAACCUGUCAUUUUGCCACCUCCAUAUGUGUUAUUAUAGGGCGUGUACGUUUGUUAUAGGUACGUAGGGGACCGGAUGUGAGCAACAAAUUUUUAAGGCUAAUUUCAACGAUGAAAAUAAGAAGAAUAUUCAUGUUUUUUGUGCAGAAGAGAGAUGGAAAAGAAGUCAUUGUCUCUUACACAAUAUGGAAGUAAACAACAUACUAAAGCAUUGGAAUCACAAUAGGAAAAAUUUUAUUAAAUCAAGAUAUCCUCCAUGGAUACACAAUAGAUUCAACGCGUUUUAUAUGACGAGUUUAAAUUUGAUAGAUAUUGUCAAUAGCCGAAAAAUUAUUCCGGGUGGUUAGAUCAUAAUUUAUUGGGAUUUUCUAAUAUGUGCCCUAAGGCACAUAUAAGAAAUAUUAAUUAAUCAUAAUUAUUACCAUAAUUAAAUGUUAAGCACAUUAAUUAUAAGAAAUAUUACCAUAAUUAAAUAUAAAACUCAUUAAUAAUCUCCAUAAUUAAUGCAUUUCACAUUUAAUUAUGAUAAUAAUUGUGAUUAAUUAAUACUUUUUAUAUGUGCGACACAUAUUAGAAAAUCCCUAAUUUAUUUUACAAAAUAUAGUAA
rnacentral:lncRNA from 1 species